UACGGUAGCAAAACUCUUCUUUAAAUAAAACAUGGGCCUUUGAUAAAGAUAUCCCUUAUCACCAUAUUCAUUUAUUUUGCAUACAGAGAUGGUGAGAAGAGCCAUCCAUGCGAAGGUGUGGAAAGGAUUUAUUUAGAGAUAUCAGUCAAACGGGCCAGCCCAUCCGUGGGUCAUUUGCUUUUCACAGAUGAUUGUAUCUUGGUUCUCAAGAUAAGACUAAA
rnacentral:lncRNA from 1 species